rnacentral:rRNA from 1 species
UACAGAGGGUGCGAGCGUUAAUCGGAAUUACUGGGCGUAAAGCGUGCGUAGACGGUUAUUUAAGUCGGGUGUGAAAGCCCCGGGCUCAACCUGGGAAUUGCAUUCGAGACUGAAUAGCUAGGGUACGGUAGAGGGAAGCGGAAUUUCCGGUGUAGCGGUGAAAUGCGCAGAUAUCAGGAGGAACACCGGUGGCGAAGGCGGGUCUCUGGGCCGAAACUGACGCUGAGGAGCGAAAGCGUGGGGAGCAAACAGG